rnacentral:lncRNA from 1 species
AGAAGCUGCGAAGAUGGCGGAGUAAGGCGUGCCGCUGCAAACUGGCCUCUGGGCCGGGGGCGAGCAGCCCCCGGGAGGCCGAGUGCAUCUGUUGGACCGUGCGAGGUGAGCCGAGAAGGCCAGUGACGGUGGGACGAGCAGGCGCCGAGGAGGUGGCGUGGCCCAGACGGGCCGGGAGAAGAAAAAAAAUAUCGGCCAGAGGAGAGGAACUAACCGAACAUUCUUCCUCCCUACCUUAUAGAGGGGAGUGGUCAUCUACACUAAAGCAAAGUGUUAGGCGCGUCCGUGCGAAGAGACCACCAAACAGGCUUUGUGUUCCUUAUCACAGGAAGAAAAUUUUCCUUGACCUUUAGGUGCUUUUAUAUUCAUCUCAAAAACAAAAUUCUGAACUCAGGACUUGGCAAGUGUCUCUAUGUUGUCUCCUAGAGUGGGUAGUCCUGCUUCUUUUACCCAGUUACUUUCCCGUUUUUGAAAUGUGGCUAUCACUUCUCUACACAUUACCUCCAUGAUUUGGAAUGGAAAAGGCCACUUUUCUUUUUGUUCUGCCUCUCAAAUUCAACACAGAGGAGCUCCUAGGAUUCCAGUUAUCCUGCUAACAUCUCCAGGAAGAAAGAAGCAACUCACAUGGGUCUUUUGCUGUUUGCUUAAUUAUAAAGACAUCAUUUUGCAAGCAGAAGGCUGAGUUUCAUUUGAAACAGGUGCUUAGGUGGUGGUAUUUGUGAAUACUUUUCAUUCCAAGCAAGAAGACUAAAGAAGUAGCAAGUAUGAAUGACUUCAGGGUUUAAAAAAAAUGUCUUCCAGUUUCAGCCACUACCAUGAUAAGCACAGUUGAGACUGCAGCAGUAAAUUCCAAAUAUGUGUUUCUAAUUUGACGUGAAAGAUACUAAAAAUUUAUAUUUGUAUAUUUAAAUCCUGGCUCAUCCUGUGACAUAGAUUUACUGAAUAGGAACAAAGGCCCAAUUUUAAACAAAAACCUAGGCCGGGUGUGGUGGCUCACACCUGUAAUCCCAACACUUUGGGAGGCCAAGGCAGGCAAAUCACCUGAGGUUGGGAGUUUGAGACCAGCCUGACCAACAUGGAGAAACCCCAUCUCUACUAAAAAUAGAAAAUUAGCCAGGUGUGGUGGUAGAUACGUGUAAUCCCAGCUACUCGUGAGGCUGAGGCAGGAGAAUUGCUUGAAUCCGGGAGGCGGAGGUUGCAGUGAACUGAGAUUGCACCACUGCACUCCAGCCUGGGCGACAGAGUGAGACUCCGUCUCAGAAAAAUAAAAAACAACUUUGGACAUAGAGGAGUUGGGGGCAGAGGGGGGAGGAUGAGAGAAUUUUCCAUGUAACUCCUUUUCCUUAAGAAAAAGAAGCAAAAAUCCCUCAUGCAGUGCCAUCUGACUUUAUGGUGUUUCACAUUAUAUAGUUACUUUUUUUAAUAAACGCAUAAGAUUAACUCUUCCUGCAA